GACGAACGCUGGCGGCGUGCUUAACACAUGCAAGUCGAGCGAUGAAGUUCCUUCGGGAAUGGAUUAGCGGCGGACGGGUGAGUAACACGUGGGUAACCUGCCUCAUAGAGGGGAAUAGCCUUUCGAAAGGAAGGUUAAUACCGCAUAAGAUUGUAGUAUCGCAUGAUACAGGAAUUAAAGGAGUAAUCCGCUAUGAGAUGGACCCGCGUCGCAUUAGCUAGUUGGUGAGGUAGCGGAUCACCAAGGCGACGAUGCGUAGCCGAGCUGAGAGGGUGAUCGGCCACAUUGGGACUGAGACACGGCCCAGACUCCUACGGGAGGCAGCAGUGGGGAAUAUUGCACAAUGGGGGAAACCCUGAUGCAGCAACGCCGCGUGAGUGAUGACGGUCUUCGGAUUGUAAAACUCUGUCUUCAGGGACGAUAAUGACGGUACCUGCGGAGGAAGCCACGGCUAACUACGUGCCAGCCGCCGCCGUAA
rnacentral:rRNA from 1 species